GCGGGUGCUAAUACAUGCAAGUCGAGCGGACAGAUGGGAGCUUGCUCCCUGAUGUUAGCGGCGGACGGGUGUGGGUAACCUGCCUGUAAGACUGGGAUAACUCCGGGAAACCGGGGCUAAUACCGGAUGGUUGUUUGAACCGCAUGGUUCAGACAUAAAAGGUGGCUUCGGCUACCACUUACAGAUGGACCCGCGGCGCAUUAGCUAGUUGGUGAGGUAACGGCUCACCAAGGCAACGAUGCGUAGCCGACCUGAGAGGGUGAUCGGCCACACUGGGACUGAGACACGGCCCAGACUCCUACGGGAGGCAGCAGUAGGGAAUCUUCCGCAAUGGACGAAAGUCUGACGGAGCAACGCCGCGUGAGUGAUGAAGGUUUUCGGAUCGUAAAGCUCUGUUGUUAGGGAAGAACAAGUGCCGUUCAAAUAGGGCGGCACCUUGACGGUACCUAACCAGAAAGCCACGGCUAACUACGUGCCAGCAGCCGCGGUAAUACGUAGGUGGCAAGCGUUGUCCGGAAUUAUUGGGCGUAAAGGGCUCGCAGGCGGUUUCUUAAGUCUGAUGUGAAAGCCCCCGGCUCAACCGGGGAGGGUCAUUGGAAACUGGGGAACUUGAGUGCAGAAGAGGAGAAUUCCACGUGUAGCGGUGAAAUGCGUAGAGAUGUGGAGGAACACCAGUGGCGAAGGCGACUCUCUGGUCUGUAACUGACGCUGAGGAGCGAAAGGGUGGGGAGCGAACAGGAUUAGAUACCCUGGUAGUCCACGCCGUAAACGAUGAGUGCUGUAGGGGGUUUCCGCCCCUUAGUGCUGCAGCUAACGCAUUAAGCACUCCGCCUGGGGAGUACGGUCGCAAGACUGAAACUCAAAGGAAUUGACCCCGCACAA
rnacentral:rRNA from 1 species